CCUACGGUGGGCUGCAGUGGGGAAUAUUGGGCAAUGGGCGCAAGCCUGACCCAGCAACGCCGCGUGAAGGAAGAAGGCUUUCGGGUUGUAAACUUCUUUUAAGGGGGAAGAGCAGAAGACGGUACCCCUUGAAUAAGCCACGGCUAACUACGUGCCAGCAGCCGCGGUAAUACGUAGGUGGCAAGCGUUGUCCGGAUUUACUGGGUGUAAAGGGCGUGCAGCCGGAGAGACAAGUCAGAUGUGAAAUCCACGGGCUCGACCCGUGAACUGCAUUUGAAACUGUUUCCCUUGAGUGUCGGAGAGGUAAUCGGAAUUCCUUGUGUAGCGGUGAAAUGCGUAGAUAUAAGGAAGAACACCAGUGGCGAAGGCGGAUUACUGGACGAUAACUGACGGUGAGGCGCGAAAGCGUGGGGCGCAAACAGGAUUAGAUACCCUUGUAGUC
rnacentral:rRNA from 1 species